AGUGACGUCACAUCCGUUCAUUGCAGCGAUGAACAUUAGGCGUUUCAGUGCCCGGAAGCUUUAAACUUAACAAUGACUUGCAUGUUCUUGAUAUUCUUCACCAUCGUGUGGCCGAUCCUUUACACUUAUGUCUACGGGGAAGAAAUAGAAUCCAUACAAGGUGUCGCAGAAAUUUAUAGCAGACUAGCUAAUGGAUCAACGUGUUUCAACAGUUCCUCUCUUGAUGAUUUUGAACAGGA